rnacentral:rRNA from 1 species
GAGGAUUUGAUCCUGGUCCAGGACGAACGCUGGCGGCGUGGAUAGGGCAUGCAAGUCGAACGAGCCGGUGCUUCGCACCGGAAUAAUCAAUAACCAAGAAACAAUAACCAAGCGGUUUGGUGAUUGUAUCUUGGAAUUUGGUUAUUCCAGCGCGGAGCGCUGGUUAGUGGCGAACGAGUUCAGUAAUACCUUGGAACGUACCGUAGAGUUUGGCAUAACCCAUCGAAAGGUGGGCUAAUUCCAAAUAGUCUGGUAGCCGAUUAUUCGCCGGAAGGCCUAAGUCAAAAAUCAAAAAUCAAAAGUCAAAAUUAAAGUUGCUCCGACGUUGCGUCGGAGCUUCCAAAAUUUUGAACUUUGCAUUUUGAGUUUUGAAUUUAGAGCGCCUUGCGGCCAACAAUCGGUUACCAGUAAAGCCGCAAGGCGCUCUAUGAGCGGCCUAGGUCCUAUCAGCUAGUUGGUGAGGUAACGGCUCACCAAGGCAAUGACGGGUAGGGGGCGUGAGAGCGCGACCCCCAACGAUGGAACUGAGAUUAACCAGUAGUCUCCUCGAGGAGUGAUCCUUGAGAAAAAUCUAGCUUAUAACGGUGAAAUCUCCGGUGUGUAUAAAUGCCUGCCCAAGAUUUAUUGGGAUGUAUUAUACUACCCACUAUGGAGACAACGCCGUGGGAAGUUAACGCUAAGAAUAUAUCGGAUCAAUAUGUUGCCGGUUUUUUGGAUGGCGAUGGCUCUAUUGUGACUGGUAUAGAAAAACGAGCCGACAGGCAUCGAUUUCCAUGCCGAGUCAGGCUUAAAAUUAAUUUCACCCAACAUAUUCGUCAUAAGAACAUGCUUAUAUUGCUUCAGUAAGGCGCUUGGCGAUAUAGGCACCGUAAGAUAUAUUCGCACUCAUAAUCUCUCUGAAUUGGUGAUUCAAAGGCGAGCCGACGUACGAAAAACGUUAGAACGUCUGCUUCCGCACCUUGUGCUGAAGCAGCGACAAGCAAGAAUUAUGCUCGCGAUGAUUGAUAUCUUCGACCGGAAUAUUGUAAACAGCAGAAGCUCAUUGUCUGACAAAGAUUUUGAGAAGUUGUUUGCGAUGGCCCGUGAAUUGCGAGGCAUCAAUUCAGGCGCAGGUGGCAAAAAGAGUUAUGAAAUCGUUAACCCCGUAACGACUCAACCCCAAGUUUACCGAAGGGUUGGAUAGUUUCUGCUUGCAGGAACUAUAAUACGCUAGCUCCCGAUAACUGCGUCGGGAUGAAGACAUAGUCUACACCACAAGUGAUUGUGGAUUAAUGUGACGGUCCAUACACCUACGGGUGGCUGCAGUCGAGAAUAUUCCACAAUGGGCGAAAGCCUGAUGGAGCGACGCCGCGUGCAGGAAGAAGGCCUUCGGGUUGUAAACUGCUUUUCACUGGGAACAAGUCCAGUCCUUUUUGGGUUCUUGAAAAUAAAAUAAGGGGUCAAGCUUGGCCCCUCGAAUGAAAGAUGCCCCUCGUAGUGAUCACUACCCCGAGAGUUUCCGGAGCAGUGACUCGGAAAAGUGUGCGCCGGGACUAUACCCUGCCUUUUGAAGGACGGAACCAUCUUCCUUAGCAAGGAUGAUAGUUGGUCCUUCACCAGGGAGCGGCUGCCGCCCCAUUGGCACACCAUACACCCUAGACACACGGAACGGCCCCUCGCCGUACUCCUCCCGUAGCUUUCGAAUUGUGAAAAAGUGCCUCCAACUACGUGUCCAGCACACGCUGUCGCCAACCGCGAACUUGCCCAUGGCAUUCACCUCCUUGCUGGAAAAAGUAGGAUAAUGCCAAUAAAAUGUCAAGAACUUAAAAAGGACUGGAUUGAGCGUACCAGUGGAAUAAGACGCUGCAAACUUCGUGCCAGCAGCCGCGGUAAUACGAAGGCGUCAAGCGUUGUCCGGAUUUAUUGGGCGUAAAGGGUCUCCAGGCGGUUUUGUUAGUCGGGCGUUAAAUCUCACUGCCCAACGGUGAGGCCGCGUCCGAAACGGCAAAACUAGAGGUACGUAGAGGCAAACGGAACGGUGGGUGUAGGGGUGAAAUCCGUUGAUAUCCACCGGAACACCAGAGGCGAAGGCGGUUUGCUGGACGUAUC